rnacentral:rRNA from 1 species
AUUGAACGCUGGCGGAAUGCUUUACACAUGCAAGUCGAACGGCAGCACGGACUUCGGUCUGGUGGCGAGUGGCGAACGGGUGAGUAAUGUAUCGGAACGUGCCCAGUCGUGGGGGAUAACGUAGUGAAAAUUACGCUAAUACCGCAUACGAUCUAUGGAUGAAAGCGGGGGAUCGCAAGACCUCGCGCGAUUGGAGCGGCCGAUAUCAGAUUAGGUAGUUGGUGGGGUAAAGGCCCACCAAGCCAACGAUCUGUAGCUGGUCUGAGAGGACGACCAGCCACACUGGAACUGAGACACGGUCCAGACUCCUACGGGGGGCAGCAGUGGGAAUUUUGGACAAUGGGCGAAAGCCUGAUUCAGCCAUUCCGCGUGCAGGAUGAAGGCCCUCGGGUUGUAAACUGCUUUUGUACAGAACGAAAAGGUUUCUACUAAUACUAGGAGCUCAUGACGGUACUGUAAGAAUAAGCACCGGCUAACUACGUGCCAGCAGCCGCGGUAA